rnacentral:rRNA from 1 species
CCUACGGGAGGCAGCAGUGAGGAAUAUUGGUCAAUGGGCGGAAGCCUGAACCAGCCAAGUAGCGUGCAGGAUGACGGCCCUACGGGUUGUAAACCGCUUUUAUACGGGAAUAACGCGCCUUACGUGUAGGGCUUUGCAUGUACCGUAAGAAUAAGGACCGGCUAAUUCCGUGCCAGCAGCCGCGGUAAUACGGAAGGUGCGGGCGUUAUCCGGAUUUAUUGGGUUUAAAGGGAGCGUAGGCCGCAUGUCAAGCGUGCGGGGAAAUGUGCGGGCUCAACCCGGGCCGUGCCGGGCGAACUGGCGUGCUUGAGUCCGCGGAAAGCAGGCGGAAUUCGUCGUGUAGCGGUGAAAUGCUUAGAUAUGACGAAGAACCCCGAUUGCGAAGGCAGCUUGCUGCAGCGGAACUGACGCUGAUGCUCGAAAGCGCGGGUAUCGAACAGGAUUAGAUACCCCUGUAGUC